rnacentral:rRNA from 1 species
AUGCAGGUUCUUACAGAAAAGAAUACCCAACUGUCCCAGGAGAUGGAAGAGUGCAAAGCCCAACUUCAGGCCACACUGGCCGCAGCGCGGGAGCCCAAAGAGACCCCCUCUGAUGACGCUGGAGUAAAUUCGGAUAAGAAACAACUCCUACGCCAGCUGAAGGUUGGUGAGAGCGUGCUUACGAGGGUGAGGCAGGAGAAGAAUGAUCUCCUAGAUGCCAACACCAAGCUGGGCGUGGAACUAAAGGAUGUUUGUGCCCAACUGUCGGACUCCGUUAAGGAGAAUCGGCGGCUUCGACGCGGCAUAUUUAGUAAGUGCUUGAACGAACUUUGA